rnacentral:rRNA from 1 species
CUUAACGCGAAGAACCUUACCUACUCUUGACAUCCAGAGAACUUUCCAGAGAUGGAUUGGUGCCUUCGGAAACUCUGAAACCGGUGCUGCAUGGCUGUCGUCAGCUCGUGUUGUGAAAUGUUGGGUUAAGUGCCGCAACGAGCGCAACCCUUAUCCUUUGUUGCCUGGGGUUCGGCCGGGAACUCAAAGGAGACUGCCAGUGAUAAACUGGAGGAAGGUGGGGAUGACGUCAAGUCAUCAUGGCCCUUACCAGUAGGGCUACCCACGUGCUACAAUGGCGUAUACAAAGAGAAGCGACCUCGCGAGAGCAAGCGGACCUCAUAUAGUACGUCGUAGUCCGGAUUGGAGUCUGCAACUCGACUCCAUGAAGUCGGAAUCGCUAGUAAUCGUAGAUCAGAAUGCUACUGUGAAUACGUUCCCGGGCCUUGUACACACCGAAG